rnacentral:rRNA from 1 species
UUGGAGGGCAAGUCUGGUGCCAGCAGCCGCGGUAAUUCCAGCUCCAAUAGCGUAUAUUAAAGUUGUUGCAGUUAAAAAGCUCGUAGUUGAAUUUCGGGAUCAAUACGUCGGUCGUGCUUUCGGGUACGUACUGGCGUCAUUGGUUUCUCCUUUCUGACGAACCAUGAUGUCAUUAAUUUGGUGUUAUGGGGAGUUAGGACUGUUACUUUGGAAAAAUUAGAGUGUUUAAAGCAGGCAUUAGCUUGAAUACAUUAGCAUGGAAUAAUGAAAUAGGACGUUCGAUCCUAUUUUGUUGGUUUCUAGGAUCAACGUAAUGAUUAAUAGGGAUAGUUGGGGGCGUUAGUAUUCAAUUGUCAGAGGUGAGAUUCUUGGAUUUAUUGAAGACUAACUACUGCGAAAGCAUUUGCCAAGGAUGUUUUCAUUAAUCAAGAACGAAAGUUAGGGGAUCGAAGACGAUCAGAUACCGUCGUAGUCUUAACCAUAAACUAUGCCGACUAGGGAUCGGAUGAUGUUAAUUUUUUAAUGACUCAUUCGGCGCCUUACGGGAAAC